GACGAACGCUGGCGGCGUGCCUAAUACAUGCAAGUAGGACGCACAGUUUAUACCGUAGCUUGCUACACCAUAGACUGUGAGUUGCGAACGGGUGAGUAACGCGUAGGUAACCUACCUAUUAGAGGGGGAUAACUAUUGGAAACGAUAGCUAAUACCGCAUAACAGUAUGUAACACAUGUUAGAUGCUUGAAAGAUGCAAUUGCAUCGCUAGUAGAUGGACCUGCGUUGUAUUAGCUAGUAGGUAGGGUAAAGGCCUACCUAGGCAACGAUACAUAGCCGACCUGAGAGGGUGAUCGGCCACACUGGGACUGAGACACGGCCCAGACUCCUACGGGAGGCAGCAGUAGGGAAUCUUCGGCAAUGGGGGGAACCCUGACCGAGCAACGCCGCGUGAGUGAAGAAGGUUUUCGGAUCGUAAAGCUCUGUUGUUAAGGAAGAACGAGUGUGAGAAUGGAAAGUUCAUGCUGUGAC
rnacentral:rRNA from 1 species